rnacentral:rRNA from 1 species
GCAGAACGCGAAGAACCUUACCUAGACUUGACAUCUCCUGCAUUACCCUUAACCGGGGAAGUCCCUUCGGGGACAGGAUGACAGGUGGUGCAUGGUUGUCGUCAGCUCGUGUCGUGAGAUGUUGGGUUAAGUCCCGCAACGAGCGCAACCCCUAUUGUUAGUUGCCACCAUUAAGUUGAGCACUCUAGCGAGACUGCCCGGGUUAACCGGGAGGAAGGUGGGGAUGACGUCAAAUCAUCAUGCCCCUUAUGUCUAGGGCUACACACGUGCUACAAUGGCAAGUACAACGCGAUGCAAUACCGCGAGGUGGAGCUAACCUAUAAAACUUGUCUCAGUUCGGAUUGUAGGCUGAAACUCGCCUACAUGAAGCUGGAGUUGCUAGUAAUCGCGAAUCAGAAUGUCGCGGUGAAUACGUUCCCGGGUCUUGUACACACCGAGUC